GGGCGAGUGGUGGAAUGGCAGACACGCCAGUCUUAGGAACUGGUCUCGCAAGAGGUGAAGGUUCGAGUCCUUUCUCGCCUACCA
rnacentral:tRNA from 1 species